UACAGAGGUCUCAAGCGUUGUUCGGAUUCAUUGGGCGUAAAGGGUGCGUAGGCGGCGCGGUAAGUCGGGUGUGAAAGCCCUCAGCUCAACUGAGGAGGUGCGCCCGAAACUGCAGAGCUUGAGUACCGGAGAGGAUGGUGGAAUUCCCCAAGUAGAGGUGAAAUUCGUAGAUAUGGGGAGGAACACCGGUGGCGAAGGCGGUUCUCUGGGCCUUACCUGACGCUGAGGAGCGAAAGCAUGGGGAGCAAACAGG
rnacentral:rRNA from 1 species